CCUACGGGAGGCAGCAGUGGGGAAUAUUGGACAAUGGAGGAAACUCUGAUCCAGCAAAGCCGCGUGAAUGAAGACGGUCUUCGGAUUGUAAAGCUCUUUCGUCAGGGAAGAAAGAAAUGACGGUACCUGAAGAAUAAGCUCCGGCUAACUACGUGCCAGCAGCCGCGGUAAUACGUAGGGAGCAAGCGUUGUUCGGGAUUACUGGGGGUAAAGGGUGCGUAGGCGGUUGUGCAAGUUAGGAGGGAAAUACCGAGGGCUUACCCCGGGGCCUGCUUCUAAAACUGUUUGACUUGAGUGCAGUAGAGGUUGGCGGAAUUCCUAGUGUAGAGGUGGAAUGCGUAGAUAUUAGGAGGAACACCAGAGGCGAAGGCGGCUAACUGGACUGCAACUGACGCUGAGGUGCGAAAGCGUGGGGAGCAAACAGGAUUAGAUACCCCGGUAGUC
rnacentral:rRNA from 1 species